ACUUGGUGAUGUGGGCAUUUGCGUAGAAGGUCCGUAAAGCACUCCCAUGUCUCGAAAAAACUGUUACCUAUCUAAUUGGGAGAAACUGGUGAUUGCCUUCCUAAGCU